CUGAGGUUUGCAGUGGGAGAUGUUAAUCAUCCUCAGAAGGAAAGUGUGCCUCCCGUGCAGAUUGUUGGCAAGUCAGAGAGAAAGACGAAAGAAGGUUGGCCAGGCAAAGGAACAUUUGUAUUUUAGACUUUUGACAACUUGGCAUCAUGUUGAAAUGAUCAAAACAUGCAAAUUAAUAAAUUGUGCUGAACUUACAAAGCAUCCAUGUAUACACCAGGGUUAUUUUUCAACAUGAAGAAUUUAUUCUGGCCUUGGAAGCAGCAGUUAGACGGAAAGUCUGGAAUCCGUGAAUAUCUGAACAAGAUUUGGUGCCAGUCCAUCUUGUUCAUAUUAAGAUGCAAAAGACUGAUUAGAGGAGCACCAAAGUUCAUUUAAUUUAUCCUCAGACAACCUUGAAUUAUUCUUUGAAAAGUUUUUUUUUUACUGAGGGUUGUUUGAGGUACUUGAAUAUCCCUAGGAAAGUAGUCAGAACCACCUCUGCUUUCCAGAGUCAGAGUGCAAAAUCAACGCUAGCCAGUAAGUCUGCACUACUGUCAAUAUACUGUAUAAUGCAAGAUAAAAAAAAAAGAAAAACAGGAGUUAAUACCAGAUAAAUGUACAAUUUAAGGGCUUUGAAAUAAAAAAGACUGUCAGACUGAUAUUACUAUUUCACGAGCUGCUAUUGUGGCGAAUCAAAGGGGAUUGCACUGGCAGCUAACAGCAACAGAUGUUGGGAGGUAAACCAGGAAAGGUGCUGAAGUCUGGCCUCACUGCGAGAAAAAAAAGGAGGCUAGAAACAAACAAAGUGAGAGAAAAAAGAAACCCAGACAUAGUGUUCUGGAGGUCACAUGGAAAGAAGAGUUUGGCUGCCAGACUUGGCAAACUAAAGCGAGUCAAGUUAAAAGUUCAGGUAGUGUCCGAUUUGACAGGAAUGCUGGCUCUGUGUUCGUAUAAUCAGCACAAUCCAACACCUCUGUCAACAAAGCCUCUCCUCUUCCUUUAGCCUCUGCGGGAGAGGACCUAAGAAAAGGGCUUUCCAGCUUUUACAGCCCAUUAUCCUUUUUUUACAGGUAGAAAUCAAGCACAGAUGGAAGAGGACCAUCUAGUGUUUGGGUAAUUAGUGAGUUUAUUUAUCACAGAUGUUAAACUCUGGAGUCUAGGUCCAAAGACAUACUUGUAGGGUGAUGUAUGCUGAAGGAAACAUGGCUCCUGACAGUGCCUAACCUAAAGUGGUCGUUCGCCCGUUUUCAAAUUCUUUAAACGAGCAAAGAUAAUGUGUUGUGAGGGGGUGCUUCUCCUUCUUCUUACAUUUAGAUAGCAACAAGGGAAAAAUCAGAAGAGGGCUGUCCUGAGAUCAGAAUUUCACCUCACCAUUAUCAUGUCUAUUAGAUGAGCUGCUUGAUUUGAAAGCAGUUAGAGUAAUUUGGGUGAAUAAUAGGACAGUAGAUACCCAAUAAUAAAAGAUUUGGGUCCAGGAACUAGUACAGCCUGUCUCACUGCUCCAUAGCUGUCAUUAUUAGCCAUUCCUACAUUCCUCAGCCGUAACCUUUCUCCGGCUGCCAUGUCAAACAAAAAGUGUGAAUUGAACAGACUUGACAUUGAGUCUAAUCCCAGGUUUUGCAGAAUCAUCCAGAAUUCACGCUUUUGACUGGAAACAGGAUUUGUGGGCUCCACGGCAUCACCUUGAGACUGCGAUAUCUCCAUCAGGCCACAAUCCAGUGAACCCUUUCACACUUCGAGGCACAAAAGAGCUCAAAUGAAGCCCGAGUCAACAAUCCCAGUCCAAGUCACUUGGAUCCUCUUGUGCACACACAGAAACACACAAGCUUUUGUCAGACAAUCUAAUUACCAAACUUUCGUGUGCCCUUCAGGAUGGCUUAACCCCCGCAGCUCCAAACUGUCACUUCACCUCUUUUCAUGGGACCACUUUGUUUCAUAAUUCAAUUUCCUGGCAAUAAAAGCCCUCCUGACCUGUCCUCUAAGCCAAUCACAAUGGCGCUCCACCCUUCACACUGACAUUUGAUUACUUCGUCCUUUGUAUUAUUGUUCUUGAGUACAUCCCUAAGUCUGUGGUAUAUUAUAAUCCAUAAUCCAAAUGCUUCAGUCUUAAUCCGCAGCUGCUCCAACCAACUGUGAGCAGCUUUUUUUCAACUCUUCAGGUGAGCAGUUGGUAUUUCUAUGAUGAUGAAGGACGCUUGUGGAAGAAAACCGAGAGUUGAUGUGAUGUAUGGGGAAAAAAAAAAGGAAGAAAACAGCGGAAGGGAGCUGAAAGCGUCAGUGGGAAAAUAGCCGGGCCGAGUCUCUCAAACGUCUGAGCAUAUCGAUUGAAAGGCUUCCAGCACAGAGCUGACCUUGUGUCUGGUCUGUGAGGUUUUCCUUCAGAGGACGUUUGAUGGACGACGCAUAUGCACCUCCUAAAAGGUGUAAAAGAUGCAGACUUUGGAGCAAAACAAGCAAACGCUGGCAGCAUAACAGGAAGUGUCUUAAUUUAGCUGGAAUCACUCAGAUCUCAGUCAAACGCCAUCUGCAAAGCCGUCAAACACAGCUUUGCCUCAGCAGACACCAGAGGCACAGAAUAUCGCAGAGAAACACCCGACAACAUGAAAAAGCACUUACUGAAGAAACACCUUCUCUCUUCAGCAGCCUGGCCUGAAGGCAACUUUUUCCUCCCGUCAGUCUCCUGUGAGUAAUGGAAACGAAGGGGAGAUAAAUGAGAAUCGAAAAACAACACAAACAGGAGAACACAGGGAGAGGAGGAGGAUGAGACAGAAGAGAGGGAGGUGGGUGAAGAUAGACGGGCGUCAAAGCGGAUCAUAGGACUUUUACUCAAGGGGACUGUAAAUCUACAAAAGCAUACAUGACUAACAGAUGUCCAUGUGAAAGUCGAGAGUCUUUAAAAACAGCAGAGGACAUUUUAACUUUAUAUGCAAGGGCGACAAGUGAAAUACAGAACUUUGUGGUGAUUAUACAUCCAACUUACCAUCCAUCUACACAGUUUUAGGCUGAGUGAGAUCUGUUGGUUUGUUGUCCUGUCCUUUUUAGACUCAAGUUUAUUCGCUAAGUUGGUGCAGUUAGCUUGUGGCGGUGUGAAAACCGCGAUCAAACCCUAGUACGGACUAAACAUCUGUACAAAGACAGCUGGAAAAGGUGGGUCUAGGUUGAUUAUUUUCAGACUCUAGAGCAGUUUAAACAUUGUGUUCUGUCAAACUGCCAUAGAUUAUACCAGCCGCCACGGUCAGACACCCCAGUGUAUUAUGGGUGGCUGGGUAACAUGGUAAACUGUUAUAGCUACUCACAACAACAAUAAUGGCAGAAUAUUAAACGUGGCUAAAGGUGGAGUCAUAAGGAGGGGCAGAAACAUCUAAAACCUAUAUUCAGAGUUAAUCAAAGUUAAAGCACAAAGUGAUCAGCUUCAAUGUCUUUUUAAUGGGUGCCUUCUAGUAUUUUGUUUAAACAAUCAAUGAAAUCUGAUAUUAAUCGUGCUCUAAUUUCUCAAAGUAUCCCAAUGACUGGUAUCAUGUUGACUAUAAAACAGUCUUUGGUUGCAGCCCUGCUGUUUUUGCCCCAAGUAGGCUGCAGUCUAAUAAAAUGACCCUAAAGAAAGCAGCCUUUGCAUCCCUCUCCACCUGCUUCAUCUGCUCUCCUCAGAGCUAAAUCCUCUCUGAUUGUUGGGGGAACGUGAAGCUUUAUCAGCUCCUCCAGACUAAUCUCACCUCCAGGCCAAAGGCUGCCGCCGGGUGGCCUCUCACCAAAACGAAGGCAUAGGGAGGUCGCCUACUUGACCACCGAAUAGCUCCUUAUCCAGAUCCACUGGAUCCAAACUGCUGGCUCCACCUGAUAGUCUGACCUUCGACCCUGCUGAACACACACAAACACAAACAUGCUAAUCUCCAGAGUAGACCACUCACCAUCCGUUGUGUCUCUUGUCUCAGAGUCCCGUGUUGAGGUUGAGGAGUUAAAGUGCACAAGCGAAGAGUGGGUGUUGAGGAUUUGACUCCAUCUCUGCCAGCAAGAUGAAGGUUAAUCAAGUCAACCCUCCCCCUCCUCCCCCUUCUCUGUCUCUGGACGACGGCUUGAUGGAGGUCCAGUGUGCUAUCAGCUCAAGCAGAAACCUGGUUAUCACACUGAAAGCAAUGUUCAAAAUCCCCUGAUAACUGCCUGAUAGACUGAGAUGGAGUGACAGCUAUGGGUAUAAAGAAAGACAGAGGGAGAAGGAGACGAAAAGAAACCUGUGGAUAAAAGUAGAAGUAAGGUGAUUCAAUUCAAACUCUUUCAAUUGAUCCAAACUUCACUCCUGGCCUUGUUUUAUUUCAAAAGUUGGAGCAGAAAAGUAAAAAAAAAAUAUAACUGAGAGGGAAUGAAGGAGUGAAACAAAGUAAGAAAAAGCCCCUCUGACACAGAGACCAUCCAUCAUCUGCUGGUUGGAGCCCAGCGGUGAGAGAAAGGAGUCCAGAUUAAAGGAGACGGAGAGCUCGGGCUCAGGGAUUUUCUGUGUUCAGCACCGAGUCGGCCUUCAGGCUGAUGACAGCAGUGAGAUUCCUAUCACUGCUCACAUGUGCAGCUACAACACAUGAAACGCAGACAUGUAAACGUGGACAUACGUGCAUGCACACAUGAUUCACACAGGCUUAAUCCUCUGUUUUCAGCAGGAUGGAGGGUGGAAUUAAAAUAACGUUAAUGUCAGCAGACUGUGGUUCGACAUUAUGUGAUAAGACCAUGAGGAGAGAAAUACAGAAUAGAAUCAACAGCAUGUUAGAGUUUCUGUCAGGGCUGGAAUUUAUGUUUGUUAACAAGGUUUGAUAUGAGCUCUUAUUACUCUGUUUUUUUAAUCAACUGGCCGUGCUGAAUACUUGAUUGUGGUUGGUCAAAAUGCCCUGACAUGUCUGCACAAUGAACAGCCGCGCCAGAGACAAGCAAAAAAGGAAAAUGGUUCCAACACUUAUCUGGAGGCCUUAACAUGACCCAGAACUUUGUAUUUUUGCAUGUGCAUCAGGCCUUAAAUGCUCAAUAUUCUCAAAAAUGACUCCACAACUUACGAAUUUAAAAAACACAAACCUGACACUGAGUUCAACCUAGAUGCAGAAUUUUUGCUUGCUAAAUUCAUCAUGCAAAGAUCACAGACUGUAUAAAAAAAUGGGUGUGAAGUUGAUGUGAAGCAGUGGUCCCCAUAUAGGAAAUACAAACUAAAUCUGACAUCGGUCAACUUACUAGAGGCAAUCCCUACCACAUAUGGAACAGCUCUGCUGCAAAACGGCAGCAAUUUUCACCGUCCACCAAUUCCUACCGGAUGCAUUUGUGAGGCGUGUUUCCUGGCAAAUUUCAGACAGCAAGGACUAGCAAGGACUCACAAGAACCCGCGGGUUCAUAUGCAAUUGCGUGAUAACAACUUGUCUCUACCAUGACAGCCACAUAACCAUAAAAGCAGUAGAUUGUGUCCUUCCAGAGGAGGAAAUCCACUUUGUCCAGACCAGUAGAUCAGACACUUUUGUGGAGACUGAGAAUUAACCAUGGGUAAAAUGAAAUACUGAGAUGCUGAGAAAUAAAAAGUAAAAAGAGAGCAAGUUAAAUGAACUACUGUGCGUAAAGAGAAAUACAUAUGUAGUCAAGUUUCUGAAAACUGAAAAAGUCCAUAAAAGAGAUAAGAAUUUGAAUUGUAUGAUUAUAAAACAUCACAGAAAUAUAUUUCAAAAGGAAAACAACUACAAGAGGAGAGUGCUGAUUCAAAAUGAUGAAAGUUUCUGAAUGUGGUCUAGGAAAGGUCCCCAGAUCUUUCGAAUUUCCCGUCAGUGCCUGUAACCAAGUAACGAAUCUUCUCAAGGUCUAAGCAGGACAUACGGUCUUUCAGCCACUGACUGUUUUACUUCACUUCAAUAAUAGUUAGUCCAAAGACUAACAGGUCAUCGGAACAGAAAAAAACUAAAUAACUCAGACUCAUGGCAUUAGUGUUUGUGUAAGCAUCGGGACGAACAGCCAACGUGUUUGUUUUUCUCUUCCCUGCUGCCUGAUGCAUGCUGGGAUUGGCUCCAGAUCCUUAGUUAUUCUAAAUUAUUGAUUGGUAAUUUUUGGCAUGUUUCUCCUUUUUCUUGCUAAUUAAAAAUCAACAAAAACUGCAGAAGUAGAGAUCACACAGAAUGAUAUCAUCUGAUGUGGAGCAGAAGUGUGUUUUUCAGAAGGACCAAAGCUCAGCGUGUGCUCUUUGGACACUGAAAACUGAGCUCUUAAUGAAGCUGUGUAAUAAGCAGAGCCGCUCUCUCAUUGCAUUUUUAUUUGUAGUUAUUUCAGUCGCUUGCCUCCUUUUAUUCAAUUGAAAGCAUCACUCAGUCUCUGGACUCGGACCCCCACUGUCCCUGCUCCUCUAACCCCCCUUAGAGUGAAGGAUUCUGGGGUUCUUCACCCUUUCACGACCCCACUGAGUGAGCCAGUCUGCACCAGCUAAAUGAUUGAUACGAGCCUGAGCUAACUAGACCCAUGAGUCCAAAAACAACCGAGGCUGACCGGCCCGGCUGCUGCAGCAUGUGUGUGUGUGUCCUUAUGUGUGUGUGUGUCUAAGGACGCUCAGUAAACAUGUCUGCAGGACCUCAGCAGAGUGUCUGUGUUUGCAGAAAUGUGCUUGCAGGUGGAAAAGUGAAAACAACAAACCCUCUUUGUGUGUUUGAGGGAGUGUGUUUGUGUUUUUCUAAUGGUGUGUAUAUCUGACAGAGUUUGCACAACGUUGCUUUUCUAGUUUCUUGUUUGCCUUCAAAUCCCAAAAGCACAGUGGCUGACAAGGCCAAACAAUCUGCAUCAAGAGAAACUCACAGAAACCUUCAGAAACAUAUGCCAAAACAAACGCAACACUGGAAACGUAAAAAUGUCAAAACAACUGCAUGAACAGCAAAAGUGCUGCACACACACACACACACACACACACACACGAACCAUGCAAAGCAAAGAUGCAGAAAGGGUUCUUCUGAACCCAGAGGGACACACAGCUGCUCUGAUGGAGUCAUGGCUUGGACAUAAUAAGGUUAAAUUUGAGCUAAUUGAAUGAAGUGCUCUGUGCUUUGGUUCAGUGGUUAGCCUGCCAGCACUUUUUGAACCCGUGACACUGAUUGUACAGUCCAUUAUAAGGGUCAAAGCGAACAUAGACUAUAUCACACAACUUCAAAGAAAAAGGAGUAGCGAUACUCAGAAGGAUACGGCUGCUAAUCUGUCAAAUGACACGACUGAAACAGCAUGAACUCAACGCUUCACUUCAGAUUUGAGCUUUACUUUUCUGAGCAUAAACAUUUUUCUCAGUUCAGGUCGACCCAGAGGUUGUGCGGCUAUUAAUACUGCCAUAUCCUUGCCAUCAUUACUGCAGGUCGAAGGACCUAUCUGGGGAACUUAAGGCUCUACUAUCACCAUGGAAACCAAGACCUGCUCCUUAUUAAUUGACAACUAAACUGGGUCAAGAGCCUUCCUUUAAAGACCAUUAUGGUCUAAUAACUUAAGGGUCUAUGUAGUCCCCUGGAUAUUUACGACAUUUCUUAAAGAACAGUAAAGUCAAACACCUCAAAGUGAGUACGAGGUUUAGAUGUCCAUGGGAAUAAAAAAAUAGAGGGGAGGUUUAAGAGAUCUGAUAAAGAUUUUCAUUUGACUAAAUCAGUAUCCAGGCUGAAUAUGAUCCUUUAGAGCAGUGGAUCCCAAUGUCAAAGACAAAAUUAUGACACUCAAUAGAAAUUUGGAAAUUAAAAUAAACCAGAGUUAUCCCACAGCUGACUGGAUGGGAAAACGUGUAUUGAAAAAAAGCUUUGUUUCAUUCGUAGCCCAAUGUCUUGUAGCCGUGGCUCUGGUGAUUUUCAUUAAAUUCGAAGGCUCAUGUGGUUCGUGUCUGCGGGUGGAGGACAGUCUGUGACCCUCAGGCCGACAAAGUCUUGAAAAAAGCUGUCUGGAUGCGCUUCACUGAAAUGAGAAUGCAUUUCUUAACUCAGCAAUAACUUGACACUUAAACAUUUUUCAUCUGGUAAACAACACGAACCAACACUGAUAAAUCAGUGUGAUGAAUUUUAUGCUAAAGUGUAAUUUGUUUCAUGGCCUUAUAUUACCCUUCGCCUCCCUCACCAAUAUUACUCCCUUCCCUCCAGCCUCUGCUUACUCUCCCUCUUUCUCUCCCUAGUCUAAAUAAAGUGUCUGCACGGGUAACUCAGUCCCUGAAACAGUGGAGAUUAACAUGUCCGCGGGGGAUAGCGAAGAGGGGAGGGAGAAAGAGAAGAAGAAAGUGUGCUCACUUUGUGGAAUCCAGUUCACUUAAAAAUAGACCUCUGGCUUUUCUCUCAGCUUUUUUAGACGAGGGGCUCAGCAGGCCUCUGGAGUAACGUGAACACUGCAAAAUCACCACUGAAGUGCCAUUGUGUUAAAGGGAAAUUUAGCUGUUUUUUUAGCCAAACUUGACCAACAAUUUAAGAGAAGCAACAAAUAUUCAUGAGACUCAUUUACAGAAUAUCUGGUUCCGACACAGACAGUAGGAUUAUUUUGCUCAGAGUCUGUACGGAUACAGACCCACCAUGCUAUCACAGUCUUCCUGUGGACUCUAUGUUGUUUUUCGAUGGGGUUUGGGGUCCUGGCUCAGCCCCUGGACAAACACUUCUUCUCUCUAUUAAAGACCCACUUCGAUGAAAAUCAUGUUUUUCUUAUUGUCUACACGCUCAUAUGGCAUUUUUCUGAUGCUUCAGGAUAUAUCAUGAGAAAAAUAAGUGCAAAAUUGCAUUUCAAGUAUUUAUUCAUUAAAAUCGGCAGAUAUCUGGCAGACCCAAACAGCAGGUUCAGAAACAGUGAAAUUUCCUACAUAGCAAAUCCAAGCUCUGCCCCCGGGGCCCCGCUAUGCAGGCCGGGGAUGGAGAGGUAGAGAGGACAAUAGUGGAACAAGCGUGUGCAUUAGUGGAUUGAAAUGCUUGUAAGAAAGCUAAUUAUGAUAUUAACUUUUAUCAUGUCCCCAAAAACAAGCUAGCGUGAAGAGGAGUGUGCAGAGCAGUGCUGUCUCCGCCCACAACUCAGAGGCGAAUUCUGCAGAAGAAACACCCUUAGAAAAUAACACAGGUUUUGGCUAAAAACUUCAUAAUCAAAACUUAAAGACCACUGAGAACACUUCAAGUACUAAAAAAAAAAAAAAACGAUCGGAGUGGGACUUUAAGCGGCUGUCAUGUCAUCGAUCCUUUAUACAGCUUGUGAUCUAAUCCAGGAACACACACAUAAAGCAUGCCGACACACAUGAGACCGUUGCAUCAGUAAGGUCUUAUUUCACUCUUUACACUCUCCUUGACAGAUCACACUCAAGAGUUAAGCUGCCGUACAUGAUGACACUUUCCCCAUGCAAGGUGUGACUUCAGCGGGAGGGAAGAGGGGGCGACCUCUGAGCUCAAACCUUCCCCCCUUUAUCCGGGAAAAUCAAACGGUCGGCCUGACAGACAAUCCUGCAAUUUAUUUGGCUCACAGCGUGUUACCGGCAGAAGGAGACGCUAAAAUGGAAACUGUAACUGACCUUUAAUGUAAUACGGCGCCGAUGGCUCACCAGAGAAAGCCUAUGGAGUUGGGGCAGCUGUGUGAUUCUUGAGUAUAAGUGUGUGUAGGUGUGUGUGUGAGAUGAGUUAUGACCAGUUUACUUGCCGGCAUUUGAGAAGUUGAGAUCCAAAGCCAGGUGGAUUAAGACAACUGGGGUCUGUGAGAGCGCUCAACAGGGGUAAGAAAAUCGGAGGGCAUGACACGGAGAAAAACCAGCAGCUACACAAUGUGAGGGACAGUUUGAGUCAAUAAACACAGACACACACUUCCUCUGCCCUUUCCCUGCAGGUCGUAACCCCUCUGACCUACAAAACAGGUGCGUCAGCAGAGGCUCUGAGUCCCUUUGUGUGCUUACAGUGCAAACAAAUGCAGGCGCUAGUCUGGAUUUGUGGUAAGAAAGAUGAUUUGUUGGGUACUUAGUGACUGAAAUGCUGGGAUAACUUUCACAUGUAAAGGUUUUGUUACAGAAACAGCCUGUGAGCAUUUCCUUUACCCUUUCUCGUGAAAAAAGGACCAAACAUGAAAAAUAUGCUGCUUUCUGUGGUGUUAUGGUUAGGCUUUUAGUCUUCAUAUUUAGGGUGACCAUAUGGCCUCUUUUACGUGGACAUGUACUCUUUUUUGGGGGGCUGUCCGGGCUGUCUAGUCUUGUCUGGGGGAGUUUAUAAAAUCCGUCAAAUGUCUGGCAUUAUAUAUAUGAAUGUUUUGAGUUUGUGUCACAUAGAUUUACUGAGUUAGAAGCGCUUAAAAAACACUCGACCCAACCCGAAAAAUUCUCAAAAUUACCUUGCAGGACUCCACCCUGCGUAGUCGUGGCCUUCUCGUGGCCAGAAUAUGGUCACUCUAUCUUAUUAGUGCGCUACUGUCUGUAAAUCUGAAAAUUCCUUCUUUGUUUCUGUUGUUCAUUUCUAUGAAGGUCAUAGACUUAGAAAUAUAUGUAUUUAUGAGGGGAUGCAUGUUUCCAUUAAGAUUUUUAUGGCAUCUAAUGUACAAAAUUUCAGGCUUCGCCGUUUCUCAGAGCGUGCAGCUGUUACACACCAUUACAUCAGUCACUCUCCUUUCUCUAAAUACUCCACUAAAAUGGUGAGAAACAGAAAAGACAAGCUCCAGUCAGUGUGUUUCUCUCUUUUUUCCUCCUUUCAUGCAAUGAAAAGCCUUUAUUUACAUGUUUGUUUAUCCCGUCUCACAUGACAAUGUGCUCAUCGCAGCUCCCCUAAUCCUGCCUUUUGCUCACAUGUGUUUUUCGGGGACGAGUGAUGUUGCAUUGGUAAACAUUAUUAUCCCAGGACGAGGUGUAAAAUGACAGCAAGACACCGAGAGGCAAGAAAAAAAAGAGAAGGAGGGAGGGAGAGGGAUGAGGGAGCUGCUUAAGGGAGAUAUCAUUUGUGUCAGUCCAAGUGAACAGCUAUCGAUUUACAACCAACGCUCCGCCAUGCGCCACAAUGAGAUCUCAUGCAUAAUUCAUGCAGGACCUAUGAAAGAGCCAUAAAUACAGUCACUGUGCUCGUCAGCAGAGCAAACUCUCAGCACCUAUGGUCACCCAACAAGGCUAGUUAGCAGAAGAAGAGGACGAAGACGAAGAGAGGGUCCUGGAGACGCAAAGAUUAGGCAUUUAUAGGGUUUUUUUUACCUGCUUGUUUACCUCCAGAUCCGGUGUAAAUGCUCAUACAGCACAAGCGCAAGAGUAGCCUGGGGUCUUACUUAUGAGGAGAGUACACAAACAAAACACAAGGCGGGAAACAGGGGGAAUUGACAAGUAAACCAAACUCUGAUUUAAUGUCAAUACUGCAGCAAGGUGGCAGAACUGAUUUGUCUGAUUUUUAAUCUGAUUUGUGACCCUCCUACUGGGACAAAUAAACAAUAUGUGCUUUCCAUCCUCUGUAUUAUCCACAGGCACCUCCAUUUUUCCUCUCUGUUAUUGCUGAGAGUCACCAGAAAGUCUUUAGACUUAUUUAUAUGCAUUUUUAUUUGUAAGGUGCUGUGCAUUGAACAUUUAUGAACAAAUGUGAGCACGUAGACAGUGGAAUUAGAGGAUGAAUUUUGUACAGGUGGAUUGUGAUCAUUAAAGAGACUGAUGCAUAAAAGUGUGCAAGUGCAAGGUUUAUAAAACUGCAUCACUGUUCUGUGCAUGCCAUCCCCGAGACUGUAAGAGAGAGAGAUAGAUAGAUUGGGUUAUUGUUCAGGAAGUUUACCCACAUAAGGAACUUGUCCUGGUGUUUUGGUCAGAAACAAUGAUCACAGAAUAAUAAUAAUAAUAAUAAUAAUAGUGUUCAAAAAAGUAAAAUAAGAAAUAUUCUCAAAAAGUGCUGUGAAAAAUGCUUCUUAGCAGUAAAAAAAGAUGGCUGCCAUGUAGGGAGGUGGAGGAUGAUACUCUAAAAAGUUGCCAGCUUCAAGUCAGGGUUUGUAAAUGUCUGUUUGAGGUAUUAAGAAAAUGUUUUAACCGUACAGAUGUCGCUCUUCUCUGUACUCUAACAUGCAGCUCUUGUUCUCUGCUUUUUUUUUGUGCUAGUAUCAGUAAAAAAAGAAAAAACUAACUUUUGUUCCUUCUGAGUGGAGGGUGCAGGGGUGGGACUGCCACAGAGACAGGCAUCUUACUCGUAUUCGUAUCGGUUUGAACUUUGAAGCAGAUGCCACUGCUCCCGAAAUGUGCGGAAAAAGUUUAAACUUUUUUUGUAAUCGAUAAUCAAAAAAGCAGAUGGCUGAAAUGAAGCAACGAGCCAGCUGUUUAUUUUCUAGCAGUAUUUGACAAAUGAAACUCCUGGUUUAAUAAUGGUGUACCCGUGGAGGUCCUGACUGCUACACUCCCUUUUCUUGUGUUGCACCCCAGAGUCAUGGAGGCCUUUCGCAGCCAAGCCGGCCCUCUUUUGACGACCUGGGGGAUUUACAUCCCACUCCUCUCCAUAAAACAGCCACUCGCCUUUCAUUCCUGUCACCCCGGCCUUUACGAUCUGGAGGGAAAGGGGUGCCUGAGUUAUGGGCUUUGUUUGGGAUAGAAGAAAAUAAAAAUGCUAUACAGCCGCAGCAUGCCAGGGAUGUCGGGGAGGAUUGUCUGUCUUGCAUGUGUGGCGAAUUUAGCGGGGACAACACAAAUGUGGGUUUGCAUCAAAUGCUUUUGCCUGUGUGUGGUUUCCAUUAAACCAUCAUUACAUUCAAUUACAUGGCUGGACAAAUCAAGCAAAUUCAACACAUGCACACGCCUCACAAUCAAAUAUUUGGGCUGGGAAUCGUCAAGGAUUUUACUGGAGAGUGAAAUAUAGAGGAUUGGAUUUCUGAAAGUGAAGUGAAACUUUGGAAAAGAGCUAAGUCUAAAGUGAGGACUCUACUUUCAACACAAUACACUCUCUGUUUGCUGUUGUGCUGCUGGAAUUGCUGCUGUCUCCUGACUUGAAAUACACACCGCUUCAUUUGUCAAAAGAGCGCAUUGCCCUUACACACUUCACUAAAUCUCUACACCUCUGAGGUCAUCACCUCCCAACAGCCAUCUCUCUCUCAACAUCUAUCUCUUCAAGCUCUGCAACUCCCACAAAUGAAGUGCACUCUUUCAAACAAAUAGACACACACACACACACACGAAGGAGAACAAACCAUCAUUUCAGCCCGGCUCCUCUCCACCGUAAAGCGCCAAACGACUGCUCUGUCCUUGAACGUUAAAGUAUUAGGGAGACAGACGAGGCGUAGGAGGAGGAGGAGGAGGAGGAGGAGGAGGAGGAAGAAGAGACGGAAAACAAGGUAGAAGAAAGGACUUUUUCAAACUGACAGUCAGCUUAAUGAAAAGGCAGUUAGGGCUCGUAUAUCUGCUGCCCUCAAGGUUCAGCCUCCCCCUAUUCCUCUGGUCUCAUACAAGCUGCUCUGAGGCCAGCCAGAGGAGGGUCGGGUUCGACUGAGGAGAGGAGAGCCGAGCCAGCGAGGGUUGACCAGAGCAAGGGGAGGGUCGGGUCAUUCUAAUGCAAGCUAAGCUAGGCUAAAGAGGGUCAGGGAGGAGCUUGGGAAGAGGAAUAUAUCGGCCUUGAGUGAGGUACAGGCAAGCAGCCACAUCAAUCCUGGAGCAUCAGUCAGCAUCAGGCACAGGCUCCCAAAGCAGACUGCAUCUUACUUCCUGGUGAGAACUGCUCCCAAACUUGAA